rnacentral:rRNA from 1 species
CCUAGGGGUGGCUGCAGUGGGGGAUAUUGGACAAUGGGGGGAACCCUGAUCCAGCGACGCCGCGUGAGUGAAGAAGUAUCUCGGUAUGUAAAGCUCUAUCAGCAGGGAAGAAGAAAUGACGGUACCUGAGUAAGAAGCCCCGGCUAACUACGUGCCAGCAGCCGCGGUAAUACGUAGGGGGCAAGCGUUAUCCGGAAUUACUGGGUGUAAAGGGAGCGUAGACGGUGAUGUAAGUCUGGAGUGAAAGGCGGGGGCCCAACCCCCGGACUGCUCUGGAAACUAUGUGACUGGAGUGCAGGAGAGGUGAGCGGAAUUCCUAGUGUAGCGGUGAAAUGCGUAGAUAUUAGGAGGAACAUCGGUGGCGAAAGCGCUUUACUGGACCAUUAUUGACGCUGAGGAACGAAAGCCAGGGGAGCAAAUGGGAUUAGAUACCCUUGUAGUC